CCAAAGCUCCCUGGUGGGCCCAGUGUGCAGCAGGAUUGAGAACUACUGCUCCGAGGGCAUGGUUCUCUGCCCAAGCUCCUUGGCAUAGCCUUGGGAGCCUGUACAACACACGAAUUCCCAAGUCGCGCUCCAAAUGAGUCAAUGAGAAUCUCCGAGUAUGGCUCUUACCAUCAAUGUUCUUAAGAAGCUCCCAGGGUGAGUCCAACCACUGGUCUACAGUCAUGUCUGGGAGAUUCUCUAAAGUGGGGCUUUUUGAGGACAACGGAUGACUCAGUGGAAAGUGACCCAUCCCAUGUGGGGGUGCGAAGACCAUUUAGCUGAUAGUCCCACCAAGUUGCACCUGAUGCAACACAGCCUGGCUUUGCACAGAGGGCUCGAUUAAGAACUCCAACAUCCCACCACUAAAGACGCGGAGAGCCAGCCUGUCCUUAUGUACUCAUAUUGGCAUCCCGGUCUCUGUUUGCAGAUGCCCAGAGCUCCUACAGCCCCCUCGUGAGCCGUGUGGCUGGGGCUGCCCAUAGGGGUGCAGCUGUUCCCCAGCUGGCCGUGUGCCUGCGGUCAGCCACUUGUGCAUCCCGUCUUCCCUCACAUGGGAGGAGCUGCCACUGCUUGGUCCUCCCCGAACAUCCUGGCCUUCACUGCACAGAGGACACGGGUGGAAGAUGGUCUCAGGCACGUGUAGGAAGGCAGAAGAGAGUUGCUAAGGCUCCCUUGUCCUAUCUGACAAAGAUGGAAGCACGUCUGUGGCUUUUAGGCUGUCGUUUUUCUAUCGACCUAGGCACAGCCUUAAAACUGUUGGCGUACACAUGGACCAUCAAUCAGCAUUUCCUUUAGCUCCUUCUAUGUCUCAAUUUACGCAGCCUCCGAUUGGAUAUUCUUCAUUCCUAUUUUGCCUUCGUGGAGUCUUUACCCAUAAAAACCUUCAACAAAACCAAAAACCUCAACACUGCAAUGGUGGGAAGACUGUCUGUGGGAGGGCAGGCUGUUUAGCCACAAGCUCUGAGAUUCCCUAACACAUGCCCAUCGGCCACAGUGGGGAGAGCCGUCAGACCCACAUUCUCCCCUGCCUACCACGCGGGGGAUGCUCUGCCUCACAUAGCCCAAUCCUGUAUGUUCGCGAAUCUUCAAGGGUGAAAAGGAGAGGAACGGAGCAUUCACAGCUACAAUGAAGCUACAAACAGCAGUAGGCAAAACUGUAUG
rnacentral:lncRNA from 12 species